ACACCACAUAUAUGAUAUAAAUGUGCAAGUUGUAACCCCACACUUGCUGAGGCACCAAGUGAAUUGUCUACAGCCGUGGAGGUACUUCCUAGUGUGGGUUAUGAUGACCGUAUCCUGCCUUCUGCUCAUCAGCUCCCAGAGAAACAGUCCUUGACUUGAGAAGGUGCUGAGAAGUUGCAGGACAAAGGUAACACCAGGACUCACUAGGUAAAGGUGGUGGUGACUGAGGAGCAAGAUGUAGUCUUCCACUCCAACAAGAUGAAAUGGAGAUUAUUCAUGGAGGAAUUGUAAGGCUUUUUGUACAGCCGAUAUGUUCAUGAAGCCUGCUGGCAACGAAAUACUUCCAGACUUCUUAUCCCCACCAAAAUAACCACAGACCUUUCCAUGGCCAGUGCAUGGCGGGUUCGCGGCACCGGCUGCGCUGCUCAGCACCCCGAUGAAGGACUCGGGCAGUUUUUCUGGGUUUGCUAUCUGGGAUCCUUAAUUAAUU